rnacentral:rRNA from 1 species
GACGAGGGGUCCAAGCGUUGUUCGGAAUCAUUGGGCGUAAAGCGGGUGUAGGCGGCUCUAUAAGUCAGGAGUGAAAGCCCCAAGCUUAACUUGGGAAGUGCUUUUGAUACUGCAGAGCUUGAAUGUGGGAGAGGGUAGUGGAAUUCCAGGUGUAGUGGUGAAAUACGUAGAUAUCUGGAAGAACACCAAUGGCGAAGGCACCAUCCUGGGAAGCAUCUGACGCUCAGGUGCGAAAGCUAGGGGAGCGAACGGG